rnacentral:rRNA from 1 species
AAAAACAAAAAUUUGCGCUGCGUAAUACAUGCAAGUCGAGCGGACAUAUGGGAGCUUGCUCCCUGAUGUUAGCGGCGGACGGGUGAGUAACACGUGGGUAACCUGCCUGUUAGACUGGGAUAACUCCGGGAAACCGGGGCUAAUACCGGAUGCUUGUUUGAACCGCAUGGUUCAGACAUAAAAGGUGGCUUCGGCUACCACUUACAGAUGGACCCGCGGCGCAUUAGCUAGUUGGUGAGGUAACGGCUCACCAAGGCGACGAUGCGUAGCCGACCUGAGAGGGUGAUCGGCCACACUGGGACUGAGACACGGCCCAGACUCCUACGGGAGGCAGCAGUAGGGAAUCUUCCGCAAUGGACGAAAGUCUGACGGAGCAACUGUUCUCGCGUGAGUGAUGAAGGGUUUUCCGGGAUCGUAAAGGCUCUGUUGGUUUAGGGAAGAACAAGUGCCGUUCAAAUAGGGCGGCACCUUGACGGUACCUAAACCAGAAAGCCACGGGCUAACUACGUGCCCAGCAGCCCGCGGGUAAUACCGUAAGGUGGGCAAAGCCGUUUGUCCCGGAAAUUUAUUUGGGGCCGUUAAAAGGGGGCUCCGCAAGGCCGGUUUUUCUUAAAGGUCUUGAUUGUGAAAAGCCCCCCCGGCCUCCACCGGGGGGAGGGGUCUNUGGAAACUGGGGGACCUUGAGUUGCAAAAAGAGGAAAAGUGGAAUUCCCCCGUUUGUUACCGGUGAANAUGGCUGUAAAAAAAU